rnacentral:lncRNA from 1 species
AAACCAGGCUGCCCCCUCCCCAGUAAUAGCCCCCAGGAGCCGAGGAGCAGACAGCAAACCACAGUCAUGGAGAAAGUAUAUGCAUUGAAUUACUGAGUGUCUUUCUUCCUCUGCAGGUUGGUGGCCCCGAAAAUGCUUUUGAUGAACAGAUGAUGAGUAACAAUGCAAGAUGAUCUAUGAUGAACAUUAUGUGGGCUUGUCAUUUGAAUCAAAGUGCAGGAGAAAUCACUUUGGGGUCUGCUGAGGUCUAAGAUGAACUUUAUUUCAAACUGAGUCCUGAAGAUGAGUGGAAUUUAAACUUAAAAAAAUAAAUAAAAAAUGAAAAUUAGCAUGAGCACAAACGUGAGGGCUAAAACACAUUUGCUGUAUUCAGAAGUCAGCAACAGUGCUAUUAGAUCAGGCAAAUAGUCUGGAAAGGUAGGUUUCCAGACAUGGACAGCUUUUGGAAGGCACGGGAUCCAAAGCCAGGGAAAUACGCAAAUGUCAAUUUUGACUGUCCAUCAAACUCUAUUAUAUACAAGAAAAUUUCCUAAAUAUAUUAUUUUUUUAAUGUUUAUUCAUUGCCUUUGCUGGCAGCAAUAUUUUCACAAUCAGCAAAUACUGGUUGUUAAAAAAUACACAAAAAUAAUAGUUAUUAAAAUUGAUUUCUAUAAAGAUUACUAUUGCUGGUUCCUUCCCAAAUGUCUGGCAGUGGGCAAAGAAAGAUACUGUUAACAUUUAGUAUCUGCUGUGGUAAUCUUGGCAUAAUAGAGUGAACACAGACUUUAAUGGCAGUUUAAUUAGAUUUACCAUGGGGAAGAUGUCACAUAGGAGAUGUGGUUCUUCUAUAUUUGGAAACCUGUAUGAU